rnacentral:ncRNA from 1 species
AAACAGAUAAAUUUGGUCCUGGUCUUUCCAUUUGGCUCUUAGUAAGAUUACACAUGCAAGCAUCCCCACCCCAGUGAAAAAUGCCCUCUAUAUUACCCAGAUCAAAAGGAGCAAGUAUCAGGCAUGCACAAAUGCAGCUCAAAAUAGUUUGCUCAACCACACCCCCACGGGAAACAGCAAUGAUAAAUAUUUAGUAAUAAACAAAAGUUUAAGCUAUACUGAUAUAUAGGGUUGGUCAAUUUCGGGCCAGCCACCGUGGCCAUACCAUUGACCCAAGCCAAUAGAACUCGGCGUAAAGAGUGUUUAAGAUCUGCCCUCAAUAAAGCUAAACUCCAUUUAAGUUGUAAAAUACUUAGGCUGAAAUAAAAUAUACUACGAAAGUAGCUUGAAUAUCCUGAAGACACGACAGCUAAGAUCCAAACUGGGAUUAGAUACUCCACUAUGCUUAGCCCUAAACUGUAAUAGUUACAUUAACAAAACCAUUAACCAGAAUACUACAAGCAAUAGCUUAAAACUCAAAGGACUUGGUGCUUUAUGUCCCUCUAGAGGAGCCUGUUCUAUAAUCGAUAAACCCCAAUCUACCUCACCACCUCAUGCCCCCAGCAUAUAUACCGCCAUCUUAGCAAACCUAAAAAGGUUAUAAAGUACAAGUAAUACACAUAAAAACGUUAGGUCAAGGUGUAGCUCAUGAGGUGGCAAGAAAUGGGCUACAUUUUCUAUACCCAGAAAAUCUCACAAAAAAUUUUAUGAAAUCUAAAGACUCAAGGAGGAUUUAGCAGUAAACCAAGAGUAGAGUGCUUGGUUGAAUAAGGCCAUGAAGCACACACACUGCCUGUCACCUUUUCAAAUACUAUUCUAGAAAUCCCUAGUACUAAAAACUCUCUACACAUGUAUAGAGGAGAUAAGUCAUAACGUGGUAAGCAUACUGGAAAGUGCACUUGGACAAACCAAAGU